ensembl:lncRNA
AAAAAGUAAAUGCAGAAUAUGAUGUAUUCCUGUUGUUCACGUUAGAAUUUGGUCUCAGCUUGGGAUGAAGGUUCGUGGGAGCUAACUUACGAGAUUUGAUGUGGAGUUUUUCACUGAGAAGCACUAUUUUGAGUUAACUAGCUAGGAACCAGAGAUAAUUCUCAGUGAACUAACCUUAAAAAAGGAAAACAGAAUUUUUUUUUUGUGAGACAGUCAGUGCCACUGUGCUCUCAAGGUAGCGUGUCUGCCUUCAAGCUUGGGAAGCUCUACUGAAAUCAAGAAAUGCUACCAUUGAGAAAUUCACCUGCAACGAUACAAACACCAGAAACAUAGUCUGCCAUUUAAUUCGCUUGCUUCAUGAGGCCUUUUUGGUGAUAAGACUUCACUGACAAUUGCUAGGGCGGUGAGUGGUGGGUGUCACCGUUUGAAGGAGCCGACCACUGCAAAAGACAAUAAUGCUUGUGCAUGGCAACAAAGGCACCACUAAACCUGCUGGUUUAUCCAUUGGGCCAGGUAUGUCACAUUAACAGAGAGAAAAGAAGAAGAAAAAACAGAGAAAUGGGGGAUAAAAGGCCCUGACUAAACUAAGGACUUCGGAGAACUUUCAAAGAAACCUUUGAUGGAGAAAUUCCCUGAGGGGAAGAAACCUCUUCAGAACCCCCGGGUUCUGCUUGCUGUGAAGCUUCCUGGCUUUCUCCCAUUCUUCAGUGAUUGGACAAGUUCCUGAGAUCAAGGGAUGUACUACGAACCUCUCUGGACCCACAGUGGUGACUAUUUCUCUUGCUUUCUAUAAAGACUCCUUGCUUUUAUUUCCUAUCUUUUUCUUAUCAUCUGUCUUCCCUUCCCCAUCUCCUUAAGCAACUAGGAUUUGUAAUAAACUGGUUGGGCUAACAUUUGACCUGUUUUGUCUUAAUCUUGCUGUUGGGUAUACCUAUACUGAAAGAACCUCCUCUCCCUCCUAUAAAUUGGAGCGAGACAGCUGGUUCUAACAUGCUUGUUUGUAUACGCACUUACCUAUAAACAAAUAUAAAGGUUUUGAUAUGUUAUUAAGGAUAACAGAAAAUACCGAUAUUGAUGUAUGUAUUAUUUUAGCUCAAAUGCAUUAAUACAUUUAUAUGUAUUAAUAUAUAAUUAUUGUAUUAAUAUGUAUUAAUAUGUAAUUAUAUGUAUUAAUAUGUAAUUAAUAUGUAGUAAUAUAUUAUAACCCAGAAUGUAUUAAUAUGUAAAUAAUAUGCAUUAUUUAAUAUCUGGUACAAGCUUGGUUCGUAUUCAGUCAGCAGUGGGUGCAUUUGAUUUUGAAUGGUUUUACAAAAAGAUGACUCACACAUCCUUUAUGUAACACAUUUGAGCUAACUAUUGUAGGACAUAUCAAAUAUUCAGGGUUUUUUUUUGUUGUUUGUUUGUUUGCUUGCUUGUUUGUUUUGUUUUUAAUGAUCUGGAAGUGUAGGUGUGGAUUAUGAGUAGAAGAUGACUUUAUUUCCAGAUCUGGAAAUGUUUGUGUUCCCUGCUGUGUUUCCUUUGUUAUGGAAUAUUGAGCAUGCAUGGCCAUUGUCUCCCAGAAUAACAAAAACACCUAAUAUUGUAAGAAAUGUGUUUGCUUAGAUGUGAAUAAAAUCAAUCAGUAGUACAAAGGUAGUUUUUCUUUUUUAAAAAAUAAUGUCAUGGAAGACUAGAAAUUGACUAAAAUGUAACUAUGAAUCAUUUUGUGCUAUAAUAAAUAAAACUCUAAUCUUGAAAAUUUAAUUUUGUAGAGCCAGUAGUCAAGGAGCAGCCUAAUGUGAUUACCUGGUGAAAUGCUUUGUGCAAAAUGGAUGUUCGGAGUAUUGAAUUGCAAGAAAAUGUAAAAAUAUGCUGUAAUUAAAAUUAGGAUAUUAAAACACAAGGGAAAGUAUAUUGAGUGAAUGAGGUAUAUUUCUGUCACAGUAAACGCUGUUAAAAUUAAACUGCAAGGGAAAGGCAAACUAUUUUUAUCAAAUAUGAAGUUAAACAAUAUAAUAUUUAAUACAUUAAUGUUUAAAAGGGGAAAUACAGCAAAGUUAAUCUACUACAAAUAUUUCCUGAGCAAUUCUGUGAUUCUAUGAUUCUAUGAUACCAUGGACCUAGAGGCAUGUUUCUAUUUCUGAUCUAACUUCUGUUUAAAAUUUUGUUUUAGGUUGAGAAGGUAAGGGUGUUGUUUGUUGUUUGUUUUUUUCCCCUCUUUCUGUAAACAGUGAUUAUAGUCAACAGCAUUAGCGUUUAAUUAGUGCAGAAGCCAAAACACAGAUCAUAAGUGCUUCCACAGGUGUCAGGUUGGUUUUUACUGUUAGUUUGGUUUGUUUUGUUAGUUAGUUUUUGUUUCUUUGUUUUUAUCUCCCCCCCCCCAAAUUUACCUGUUUUUUGUGAGUUUCUAUGCCUGAAUGUGAG